rnacentral:tRNA from 2 species
GCCCGGCUAGCUCAGUCGGUAGAGCAUGAGACUCUUAAUCUCAGGGCCCUGGGUUCGUGCCCCACGUUGGGUG